UACGUAGGGACCAAGCGUUGUCCGGAAUCAUUGGGCGUAAAGAGCGUGUAGGCGGCUUGUUAAGUCUUGCGUGAAAUCUCGGGGCUCAACCCCGAGCGGUCGUGAGAAACUGGCGGGCUAGAGUGCGGGAGAGGAGAGUGGAAUUCCUGGUGUAGCGGUGAAAUGCGCAGAUAUCAGGAAGAACACCCGUGGCGAAGGCGGCUCUCUGGAACGCAACUGACGCUGAGACGCGAAAGCGUGGGGAGCGAACAGG
rnacentral:rRNA from 1 species